rnacentral:rRNA from 1 species
UACAGAGGAGCCAAGCGUUGUCCGGAUUGACUGGGCGUAAAGCGCACGCAGGCGGGUGCGCGCGUGGGGUGUGAAAUCUGGCCGCUUAACGGCCAGGCGCCAUCCCAUACGGCGCGUCUGGAGCCUUGCAGAGGUCGGUGGAAUUGCCGGUGAGUGGUGAAAUGCGUAGAGAUCGGGCAGGAACACCCAGGGGGGAACCAGCCGACUGGGCAAGUGCUGACGCUGAGGUGCGAGAGCGUGGGGAGCGAACCGG